CUUAGAGGAAGACCCUGUGGCUGGGGCAGCCUCGAUUGCCCGGCCGGGGAUCCGAGCCAAACUGUCAUUGUCAGAAUGUCAGGCAAAGAAUGAAUUGAAAUCUUUCCCUCGCGCAUGGCACAGACCAUCAUGAAAGCUCGAUUAAAAGGAGCACAGACGAGUCGAAACCUCCUGAAGAAAAAAUCUGAUGCCUUAACUCUUCGAUUUCGACAGAUCUUAAAGAAGAUAAUAGAGACUAAAAUGUUGAUGGGUGAAGUGAUGAGAGAAGUUGCCUUUUCACUUGCUGAGGCCAAGUUCACAGCAGGGGAUUUCAGCACAGUCAUCCAAAAUGUAAGUAAAGCCCAAGUGAAGAUCCAAGCUAAGAAACAUAACAUAGCAGGUGUUACCUUGCCAGUGUUUGAACAUUAUCAUGAAGGAACUGACAGUUAUGAACUGACUGGUUUAGCCCGAGGUGGGGAGCAGUUGGCGAAAUUAAAGGGGAACUACGCCAAAGCAGUGGAGUUACUGGUGGAACUAGCUUCGCUUCAGACUUCCUUUGUUACUUUGGAUGAAGCCAUCAAGAUAACCAACAGGCGUGUCAAUGCCAUUGAACACAUCAUCAUUCCCCGGAUUGAACGUACCCUUGCUUCUAUCAUCACAGAGCUGGAUGAGAGAGAGCGAGAAGAGUUCUGUAGAUUAAAGAAAAUACAGAAGAAAAAGAUUCUCGAGGAAAAAUCUGAGAAGGACGUGGAGCAAUGGAGGACAGUUGGUGAGGUGAUGGAGCCUGCUAAUCUUCUGGCUUAA